UACGUAGGGUGCAAGCGUUGUCCGGAAUUAUUGGGCGUAAAGAGCUCGUAGGCGGUCUGUCGCGUCGGCUGUGAAAACCCGGGGCUCAACUCCGGGCCUGCAGCCGAUACGGGCAGACUAGAGUUCGGCAGGGGAGACUGGAAUUCCUGGUGUAGUGGUGAAAUACUUAGAUAUGUCAUAGAACACCGAUUGCGAAGGCAGCUAACGAAACUAUAACUGACGCUGAGGCACGAAAGCGUGGGUAGCAAACAGG
rnacentral:rRNA from 1 species